UACAUGUGGGGCAAGCGUUGUUCGGAAUUACUGGGCAUAAAGGGUGCGUAGGCGGCUUGUUAAGUCAGGGGGUGAAAAGUUUUUCGGCCCCAACCGGAAAAAUUGCCCUUUUGAUACUGGCGAGCUCGAGUGCGUGAGGGGGUAACCGGGAAACGAGGCAAGUGUAGCGGGUGAAAAUGCGUAGAUAUUUGCUCGGGAAAGGCCC
rnacentral:rRNA from 1 species